UAAGGAAUAUUGGUCAAUGGACGCAAGUCUGAACCAGCCAUGCCGCGUGCAGGAUGACGGCCCUAUGGGUUGUAAACUGCUUUUGUACGGGAAGAACUGCAUUUACGUGUAAAUGCUUGACGGUACCGUAAGAAUAAGGAUCGGCUAACUCCGUGCCAGCAGCCGCGGUAAUACGGAGGAUCCGAGCGUUAUCCGGAGGUUUAAAGGGUGCGCAGGCGGGUAUAUAAGUCAGAGGUGAAAUUCCAGGGCUCAACCUUGGGACUGCCUUUGAUACUGUAUGUCUAGAGUAUAGUUGGAGUGGGCGGAAUGUAGCAUGUAGCGGUGAAAUGCUUAGAUAUGCUACAGAACACCGAUCGUGAAGACAGCUCACUAAGCUAUAACUGACGCUCAGGCACGAAAGCAUGGGGAGCAAACA
rnacentral:rRNA from 1 species